CCCUUCGAUACUCUGGGCGGCACGCGCGCUACAAUGGAAAGAGGAAUGUGUCACGGUCUCGGAAGAGGCAGUUAAUCGCGAAUAUAAUGUCGUGAGUGGGAUAGUUCGUUGCAAUUAAGGACUUGAACAAGGAAUUCCUUGUAGGUGUACUGAAUCAUAGUAUACCGAAUACGUCCCUGCCGUUUGUACACACCGCCCGUCGUUUCUUCCGACUGAUGCUCAUUGUGAAUUGUGAGGAGGGGCAACCCAAAUUGCUGUGAAUGCUGAACAUUGGAGGAAGAAAAAGUCGUAACA
rnacentral:rRNA from 1 species